GCUUACUGCAGGCUUUCAGCCCAGUGCUGACUGCACCUGGGCAUCUGCUUGCCUGCACGUGGCUCUUAGUGCUCUGGUUACCAGGCAAACCUGAAGCCCUAGGAAAAAAUUCGGAGCAAAGAUUCUGAGACAGACUAUGUAACAUUUAUGGAUGUUUGGCAAGAUUACCCGUUGGCCUAAAUCAGCCUGCCGUUAAAUCAAGUACUGGAAGUUAGUAGAAAUAUAUUAUUUCAUAUCAGAUUCUCCUUAAUACUGCCUUCAGGAUCACUGACACUUCUCCACGGCUUCUUCCUUUCCACCUUAUCCUUUGGCUUCUUGCCAUCUCAGGAGGAGUAAAUAUUCUGGGUCCUGUUUCUUCAUCCUAUUUCUGCCAUUAGCAUGCUGAUUAGUGCCCUCAAUGCUGUCCUGAUGCUCACACCUAGUACUACCACUGGCAUGCUAGAAGGACUGAAGUCAUAAACAAUAGGGUGAAGCUUCUGAACUGAAUUUAUGCUCUUGUGAUUCAACACUAAUUUAUUUAAAUUAGUCUCCAAAAGUUUCAUGUCACCACUUGUGGUCUGGUUCACCUGUGGUUAGUAUCCUUUUGUCUCGUCAGUCCAAGGAGACGGAGAGCAAAAAGACAAUAAGGAGACAGUUUUUCUAUAUUUGCGAUAUGGAUCGUGUUGGAUGAAGGAAUAGUCUCAUAUUCCUUUAUGAGAAAAAUACCUCGAAGAGUGAGGUUGGUGCUGCUGUAACAGGAACCAUAAAAUCACAUUAAGCCGGGACCUGAGUGAGCCUGUGAUACCUGGGCUGGAGAUGUGCACACAGAAUCGUCAGCUUGCCAGAACUCUCCUGGAUUUAAGCACAGAAACGCAGAGGCUGAGGAAUGAAAAUGAGCUGUCAGCAGCUUCCGAAUCCAAAGCGCCCAACGUUGCCAUGAGCCCAGAAUAAUAAACUGCGUUUCAGGACAUAAACCCUGCAGAUGAAAUAUACAUUCCACGAACGAUUCUGACAACAACGUUACGGAUAAGCUGCACAAGCUUCUCGAUCCAAUUUGGUAGCAGAACGCACGGCAUUGUUUGAAAAUUACAGAAAUAUUUUAGAGAGGGUGGAGGGGAAAAUGCUGCUUUUAUAUUAGAGUUUGAAGCUUCACUUGCCUUUUGGGGAGAUAGCUGGCUUUUCAAAAAGAAGGUGUCUAGAAAUUGUAUAUGUGUAUAGGAAGGGAUCUUUGCCUUAUUCUCCAAUUAUUCUUCAGGUAUUUAGUUUUGUACAAUUUUUAGUGCUGAAUACUACCUUUAAAAAUCCACGUGCAUUUCACUUGGCUACCUGUCACUUCGGGAAUUCAUUAGUUUAAAUGUUUUUUCCUGUAAAGUGAGAAAUUUUAACUGUGCCUUCAAAUUAAUUCUUUAUAUGCCGUCCUUUUUAAAAACAAACUACAUUUAGUAGCAUUUUAAUUUUCUCUCCCAGAUUCAAAUAGCUAACAGAUCUGAGGAUGAUUCAUAAAUGCAGACAUGUCUAGGCAAUAAAAAUCGGUGCAUAUAGAAUGCAUAUGACUGUAAAAUUUAACUUUUAGCAAUAAAAAACCAAUGUCUAAACACAGAGUAGAAGCUGACAUUAACCCUUUUACUGCAGUCAGGGCUUUUUAAGAGGUUUGUAGAAUGGACACAUUUUAUAUUCAUUUUGGUAAAUGUGCCAAGGAAAAAAGCUUAUGCUGAUCCACAAGAAUAAAAUCUAUUAGAAACUUCAUAUUCACCUCCAAUUUUUUUUCUCAGGGAGGAUGACAAGGACAGGCAGGCAGUUUGGCAUUUAGAAUUUGUACUUUUGAAACUUGUGGGUUUUUCUUGCAGAUCUCUGGGCUUUUGCAGAUGUUCAAGAAAACUGCAUGCUGUAUUCCAGUACUUGGAAUACUUUGCACCUUACUCCUGACAGCCUGCCUUCUUUGGCAGCAGUGAUAUUCCCAGGCCGAACUGUACCCGCAACAGAGGAGUUUUCAGUGCAGGGAGCGGGGUGCAAAGAUAAGCUUUGCGGGGUUAGAGCAAGCUGCCGAGGUGCCCGGAGGACAUUCCUUCCAGCCUGCCCUGGAGCACUCCCUGAACCUCCUUUCCGCUCUGGCUUUGGGGGUUACGCUGAAAAUCUUGUUAUGGGGAAAAAAGGAAACAAAUGUUAUAUAUAAUGUUAUCUAUAACACCAACGAUUUAUUGCUGAAGUGAAAUCUUAAAGGUCAAAUCCAAAAAUCAUUGUUAGUCCAGACCUAAUCAUUGCAGGAAAAAUAAAAAAAGAAAUUAACACUUCUAUACAGAAAAAGCCUCACUAAUAACAACAAUACUGUUAAUAUUGCUAUCAACACCCUUCCUAGUUCCCACCCGUUUUGCUGGUGUUACGCUCACCCUUGCACUGCCCCUCUGGGUCCUCAGGACGGGGGCUUCAGUCUGGUGAGGGGAGGGGCACAGCAACGUGACUGUCUUGUCCGGAGGAGUGCGGUGUUGAUGGUUUCCUGUCGCUCAUGCUAGGAUCCUCUGGGUGUCAUUUUUAUAUGUUUGCUAACAUACUUACACCUUGCUCUUUUUUAACUGGUCUGUGAGUCCACGUAGCAUCCAAGUUUGCUAUAUCAUCGGAUGCAUUUUAAAUAUGUUAGUUACUUGUUCUUUGUUUUCUUCGUUACUCCUAAAACUGUUUUUAUCCAGCUCCAGAUCUCCGUUACUUUAACUGAUCACUGGUGAGUUGUUUAUAGCCAUGAGGUCUCCAGUGCCCCAUCUCAUCUCACCCCGUACCUGUAUGCUCUUCACAGCAUCCUGGGUCCGCACUUCUCAAGGCCUCUGCUGUUGUACCAGGCCAGUAUUUCUCUAGGCUACACGACUGUGUUAGAGUUAUAAAUAUCUUAUUCUAUACAGAAUUAACUGCUUGUUACUACUAUCUGUGUAAAACUAUGGUUGUACUAUGCAAAGAUAAGCAAAGUUAAACAAGUUAGCCAUAGCCACCUGGUCAGAAGAAAACUAAGUAAAACUGAGAAAACCAGGUUUUCUCUUUUUUUUUUUUUUUUUUUUUCCCG